rnacentral:pre_miRNA from 15 species
AAUGUCAUCAAAAAGGGCUGAAGAAAGAUAUUUCUGCAUUUGAAUCGUAUCACAGCCAGCUUUGAUGGGCAUUG